rnacentral:rRNA from 1 species
GACGAACGCUGGCGGCGUGCCUAAUACAUGCAAGUCGAACGCAGUGGGGACGGGUGAGUAACACGUGGGUAACCUCCCAUCAGAGGGGAUAACACUUGGAAACAGGUGCUAAACCGAUACCGAUGGAUGGACCCGCGGUGCAUUAGCUAGUUGGUGAGGUACCGGCUCACCAAGGCCACGAUGCAGAGGCGACCUGUGAGGGUGAUCAGCCACCCUGGUACUUAGCCACGGCCCAGACUCCUGCGGGAGGCAGCAGUGGGGAAUAUUGCACAAUGGGCGCAAGCCUGAUGCAGCCAUGCCUCGUGUAUGAAGAAGGCCUUAGGGUUGUAAAGGACUUUCAGCGGGGAGGCGUUACCCGCAGAAGAAGCACCGGCUAACUCCGUGCCAGCAGCCGCGGUAAUAC